rnacentral:rRNA from 1 species
UACGUAGGGUGCGAGCGUUAAUCGGAAUUACUGGGCGUAAAGCGUGCGCAGGCGGUUUUGUAAGCCGGAUGUGAAAUCCCCGGGCUUAACCUGGGAAUGGCAUUCGGGACUGCAAGGCUGGAGUGCGGCAGAGGAGACUGGAAUUCCUGGUGUAGCAGUGAAAUGCGCAGAUAUCAGGAGGAACCCCAAUGGCGAAGGCAGCUCGCUGGGACGGUACUGACGCUGAGGCGCGAAAGCGUGGGGAGCAAACAGG